rnacentral:rRNA from 1 species
CCUACGGGUGGCAGCAGUGAGGAAUAUUGGUCAAUGGGCGCUAGCCUGAACCAGCCAAGUAGCGUGAAGGAUGACUGCCCUAUGGGUUGUAAACUUCUUUUAUAGGGGAAUAAAGUGCAGUAUGUAUACUGCUUUGCAUGUACCUUAUGAAUAAGGAUCGGCUAACUCCGUGCCAGCAGCCGCGGUAAUACGGAGGAUCCGAGCGUUAUCCGGAUUUAUUGGGUUUACAGGGAGCGUAGGCGGGUUGUUAAGUCAGUUGUGAUAGUUUGCGGCUCAACCGUAAAAUUGCAGUUGAUACUGGCAUCCUUGCUUACAGUCGAGGUCGGCGGACUUCGUGGUGUAGCGGUGACAUGCUUCGAUCUCACGCAGAACUCCGAUUGCGCCGGCAGCCUGCUGGACUGUACCUGACGCUGCUUCUCGACAGUGUGGGUAUCAAACAGGAUUCGAUACCCGGGUAGUC